AACCAGCACCUCAAGUGGUCAGGAUGAUUAUUGGGCCUAAAGCAUCCGUAGCCUGUUCUGUAAGUUUUCGGUUAAAUCUAUGCGCUCAACGUAUAGGCUGCCGAAAAUACUGCAGAACUAGGGAGUGGGAGAGGUAGACGGUACUCGGUAGGAAGGGGUAAAAUCCUUUGAUCUAUUGAUGACCACCUGUGGCGAAGGCAGUUCACUGGACCGUGAUCGACGCUGAGGAGCGAAAGCUAGGGGAGCAAACAGG
rnacentral:rRNA from 1 species